rnacentral:lncRNA from 1 species
UUAUGUUAAAUGCUCCAUCAAUUAUAUAAUAUUCUGUGCAGUAUACGAAAAAUCAGUAUGCAUUAAAUGCAAAAAAAGUUUCUCCUCUCUUUCGAAAUUAUAUGUGCACUGGACUAAACAUUCUCUGCAUCCGAAUAUAUUUAUGUACAUAUGCCACCUGCUCAACAUUCUUUAAUAAAAAUUUUAAAAUUAAUACAUCAAAUAUAAUUUAAACUAUUGGACUU